AGGGAGCAUCCUUUAGUGAUGAGAGAAUUGCUUCUCUUCAUCUUGUGGGUACAAUCAUUGCUGCUGUGCUUUUACACUGAUGCUUCUCCACUGUGACACACUCUUCUUUCUUCAUUAAUUUCAGGAGAUGCAGUUUCACUAUCCACCAGCUGGCAGAGAAGUCACAAGCAGGUGCCAAAUGUGACAGCCCCUUCUUCCUGAGGCCAUUACAGACAACCAGAUACCCUGGUGUUUUCUCACCACUUACAAACACUGUGCAAGGACCUGGCAGUGGCAUGGACCAGGCAAGGCUGGGGGAUGCUCAUUGCUCUUCAGGGGCAGGGAGGCUGUGAGGUCACGGGCAGAGGAGCACCUGGGAGUGACACUCCAGCUGUGAGCUGUGUGUGAUGGGAGUCCCUCAGCCAGCUGAAUGGGAAUGGCUGCUCCAACAGCACUGAUCCCAACAGCACCGAUCCCACACAGAUGCUGCAAGACCCCUAAUGACUGCAGUGGAGCACAGUUCAAGCCACUCAGGCACCUACUUUCAGGAAUGUUGGAAAGAUAGGAUAUUUAAAUACUACCUCCAUCUAGUACCUACAGAGAGAACUAAAAGUCUGUAAGUUUUUUGAUGCCACAACAUAAAUGGAUGUUUAUCUUGUGAUAAAAGUAUGCCACACAAGCCUCUAAGAAGUCUGCACCUUCCAGGGACAAAGGAAGCAGUGCCCAGAAUCCACAAACUCUUCUCCAAAAUGGUAACCCUCUUGGAACAAGAAACAGCUUGUCAAAAUCCCAUCUUUCAUAAUGGAUUUUGCUACUUCUUGAUGGAGAAGGAUGCUUCCUGCAGCAGUAUUAUAGACUUACAAGACAUGAAUCAAUUUACAUUUUAAUCAUGGGGGGCCUAUACCAUCAAUUGGUGAGAGUGCUUUUAAUUUACCUGAACUCAGUCAUUGGGUUGAUCCCAGCAGAUUUGCUUCUACGGCAACACCUGCUUUUAUCAUAUCAUCUCUUGAGUAUUCAGCCUCCUUAAAAAUAAAUAAAUUCUCCUGAAACUGUGCUAAAUUCCUUACCAAUG